rnacentral:rRNA from 1 species
UACGAACGCUGGCGGCGUGCUUAACACAUGCAAGUCGAGCGAGAAAGCGGCUUCGGCCGUGAGUACAGCGGCGAACGGGUGAGUAACACGUGGGCAACCUGCCCCAGAGAUUGGGAUAACGUCCCGAAAGGGACGCUAAUACCGAAUAACGCGUGACCUGCCAAGUGGGUCACGCCAAAUGGUAGCCUCGGCCUCUGCUCUGGGAUGGGCCCGCGCCGGAUUAGCUGGUUGGGGGGGUAACGGCCUACCAAGGCGACGAUCCGUAGCUGGUCUGAGAGGACGAUCAGCCACACUGGGACUGAGACACGGCCCAGACUCCUACGGGAGGCAGCAGUGGGGAAUCUUGCGCAAUGGGCGAAAGCCUGACGCAGCAACGCCGCGUGAGCGAAGACGGCCUUCGGGUUGUAAAGCUCUGUCAGGAGGGACGAAGCCACUCGGGCGAAUAGCCCAGAGGGUGACGGUACCUCCAGAGGAAGCCCCGGCUAACUACGUGCCAGCCGCCGCAGUAA